rnacentral:piRNA from 3 species
GGUUCGAUUCCGGCUCGAAGGAC